rnacentral:rRNA from 1 species
AGUGGCGGACGGGUGAGUAACGCGUGAGAAUCUGCCUUCAGGUCGGGGACAACAGAGGGAAACUUCUGCUAAUCCCGGAUGAGCCUUAGGGUAAAAAAUUUAUUGCCUGGAGAUGAGCUCGCGUCUGAUUAGCUAGUUGGUAAGGUAAAAGCUUACCAAGGCAACGAUCAGUAGCUGGUCUGAGAGGAUGAGCAGCCACACUGGGACUGAGACACGGCCCAGACUCCUACGGGAGGCAGCAGUGGGGAAUUUUCCGCAAUGGGCGAAAGCCUGACGGAGCAAGACCGCGUGGGGGAGGAAGGCUCUAGGGUUGUAAACCCCUUUUCUUUGGGAAGAAAAAUGACGGUACCAAAGGAAUCAGCCUCGGCUAACUCCGUGCCAGCAGCCGCGGUAAUACGGAGGAGGCAAGCGUUAUCCGGAAUGAUUGGGCGUAAAGCGUCCGCAGGUGGCAAUGUAAGUCUGCUGUCAAAACCCAGGGCUCAACUCUGGUCAGGCAGUGGAAACUACAUAGCUAGAGUUCGGUAGGGGCAAAGGGAAUUCCCGGUGUAGCGGUGAAAUGCGUAGAGAUCGGGAAGAACAUCGGUGGCGAAAGCGCUUUGCUAGACCGAAACUGACACUCAGGGACGAAAGCUAGGGGAGCGAAUGGGAUUAGAUACCCC